GUCGAGCGAACGGACGAGAAGCUUGCUUCUCGUGAUGUUAGCGGCGGACGGGUGAGUAACACGUGGAUAACCUACCUAUAAGACUGGGAUAACUUCGGGAAACCGGAGCUAAUACCGGAUAAUAUUUUGAACCGCAUGGUUCAAAAGUGAAAGACGGUCUUGCUGUCACUUAUAGAUGGAUCCGAGCUGCAUUAGCUAGUUGGUAAGGUAACGGCUUACCAAGGCAACGAUGCAUAGCCGACCUGAGAGGGUGAUCGGCCACACUGGAACUGAGACACGGUCCAGACUCCUACGGGAGGCAGCAGUAGGGAAUCUUCCGCAAUGGGCGAAAGCCUGACGGAGCAACGCCGCGUGAGUGAUGAAGGUCUUCGGAUCGUAAAACUCUGUUAUUAGGGAAGAACAUAUGUGUAAGUAACUGUGCACAUCUUGACGGUACCUAAUCAGAAAGCCACGGCUAACUACGUGCCAGCAGCCGCGGUAAUACGUAGGUGGCAAGCGUUAUCCGGAAUUAUUGGGCGUAAAGCGCGCGUAGGCGGUUUUUUAAGUCUGAUGUGAAAGCCCACGGCUCAACCGUGGAGGGUCAUUGGAAACUGGAAAACUUGAGUGCAGAAGAGGAAAGUGGAAUUCCAUGUGUAGCGGUGAAAUGCGCAGAGAUAUGGAGGAACACCAGUGGCGAAGGCGACUUUCUGGUCUGUAACUGACGCUGAUGUGCGAAAGCGUGGGGAUCAAAC
rnacentral:rRNA from 1 species